UCCGUAGGUGAACCUGCGGAAGGAUCAUUAACGAGUUUUGAAACGGGUUGUUGCUGGCCUUCCGAGGCAUGUGCACGCCCUGCUCAUCCACUCUACACCUGUGCACUUACUGUAGGUUGGCGUGGGUUUCUGGCCUCCGGGUUGGAAGCAUUCUGCCGGCCUAUGUACACUACAAACUCUUAAAGUAUCAGAAUGUAAACGCGUCUAACGCAUCUUAAUACAACUUUCAGCAACGGAUCUCUUGGCUCUCGCAUCGAUGAAGAACGCAGCGAAAUGCGAUAAGUAAUGUGAAUUGCAGAAUUCAGUGAAUCAUCGAAUCUUUGAACGCACCUUGCGCUCCUUGGUAUUCCGAGGAGCAUGCCUGUUUGAGUGUCAUGAAAUUCUUAACCCAUAAAUCCUUGUGAUCUAUGGGCUUGGAUUUGGAGGCUUGCUGGCCCUAGCGGUCGGCUCCUCUUGAACGCAUUAGCUUGAUUCCGUGCGGAUCGGCUCUCAGUGUGAUAAUUGUCUACGCUGUGACCGUGAAGCGUUUUGGCAAGCUUCUAACCGUCCAUUAGGACAAUUUUAUAACAUCUGACCUCAAAUCAGGUAGGACUACCCGCUGAACUUAAGCAUAUCAAUAAGCGGAGGA
rnacentral:rRNA from 1 species